UACGUAGGGUGCAAGCGUUAAUCGGAAUUACUGGGCGUAAAGCGUGCGCAGGCGGUUCGGUAAGAAAGAUGUGAAAUCCCAGAGCUUAACUUUGGAACUGCAUUUUUAACUACCGGGCUAGAGUGUGUCAGAGGGAGGUGGAAUUCCGCGUGUAGCAGUGAAAUGCGUAGAUAUGCGGAGGAACACCGAUGGCGAAGGCAAUCCCCUGGGCCUGCACUGACGCUCAUGCACGAAAGCGUGGGGAGCAAACAGG
rnacentral:rRNA from 1 species